CCCUUAGAUGUCCUGGGCCGCACGCGUGCUACACUGACACUUGCAGCGAGUACUUCCCAUCUCCGAGAGGUAGAUGGUAAUCAGCAAUAAGUGUCGUGAUGGGGAUAGAUCUUUGGAAUUAUGGAUCUUGAACGAGGAAUGCCUAGUAAGCGUAGGUCAUUAGCCUACGUUGAUUAAGUCCCUGCCCUUUGUACACACCGCCCGUCGCUCCUACCGAUUUCGAGUGGUCCGGUGAAUCUUUCGGACUGCGCAGAGUUUCGUACUUUGUCGCGGAAAGUCAGGUAAACCUUAUCACUUAGAGGAAGGAGAAGUCGUAACA
rnacentral:rRNA from 1 species